UUACAACUAUUGUUACUUAUAAGGAAAGUGAGUGGCGUGUGAUGACAACGUCUACGCGUUUUAAUAAUAUAAAUAAAACAAUCAUUUUAAUAUUGUAUUGGUGAUUAAAAGAAGUGCAGUCCCUGGAAAUCUGGUCGCGAUGAGAGCUGUGAUGAUAUUACUGGCGCUGAGCAUCGCAGCGUGCGACAUGUGCGUCGGCAGCGCGUCGGACGACAUCCCCGUGACAUUAGCCGGCGCCGCGCCCGCAGACAUACUGCUGUACCUCUACGACGUCGUGCUCACUCCCCACUUGCUCACUGAUCGUAACAGAGAAGGAGGGCCGCUUGUUGGAUCGUCUUUAUGUCCCGGUGGUACACCUCGAACAAAAUCCGGGCAGUGCCCGCUACAAGACAAGGAUUAUUUGUAUGAUGACUAAAACUUUGACUUACUUAAAUAAAUUAUUUUAUACAUUAAGGUAAAUAGUAAGUAGAAUAUAGUGCCAUUUAAUAAGAACAGAUUUAAGGAGAACAAGAAUUCUGACAGUUUGGUACUUCGGCGAACUUAGGUAAAACUGUAACAAAUACUCUAAUUUAGGCGAUUGUUAGUCAUGUUUUACAAAAGACUAAAUAUGGUUCACUUAUGUGCCUAUUGCUAUGUUUAAAAUGUGGUCAUCAACAACAUGCGAACCUUUUCCUGUAUUAUUUAUUUGCUAGUACAAUGUAAUCAUCCGAUGGAUUUGCCACGAAUCUGCGUCGGUCAUUUUGUUUAUGAUAAAUUAGUGUCAAAGUGUUUUAGACUAAAGUUCAGGUUCAACAAAAGUUCUAUUAUCAAAAUAAACAAAUAGUGUUUUCAAAAGAUUGGAGUUAACCAUGUGGUUCAAAGGGUGUGUCCAAUAGGGCUAUUAUAAAAGAAACUGCAAACGAUGACAGUUGCAUUCAUCUUACUGAUCGCAGUCACUACGGCUUUCACCGACCCGACUGUCAUGGAAGAUGAAACAACCGCAGUAUUAGAUAGAAAAGCUACUGAAGACAAACUUAUGUACCUCCAUGAUAUUUUUAUGAUGAAACCCAAACUCAGGAAUGGUAAAAGAAAAAAGAGGGAGCUCAUCAUAUCGUUUAAAUGUCCCGGCGGUAUGAACCGCGUACGUGACCGCUGCCCACCUCCUAGAGAUGAUUACGAUGACUAUUUUACUUUACAAUAAGUUCUUCAACGUUAUGCUGUAAAACUUGAUUUUAAGAAGUUCUUUAUCAGUUGAUAUUAAGUAGAUAUUAGAUUACAAUUACAUGUUAGUGGUUUGUAGACAACUGUCCAGCAAUUUUUAAUGUCUUUGGUUAUAAGUUGUAUCUAUAUAAGAUAAGUUUUAGAUGUAUAACGAUUUUUAAAUAUGUAUAUUGAAAUAAACUGUAUAGUGAAUAUUUGCAUUAAUUAAUUUAUAUUUGAAUCUCCAAAUACCUUGUCAGCAUCAGCAUUUUUCCCAAAGGGUAACUACUCCAUUAAUCGUCGUACAACAUUUUUUAUGAUGGUCUCGCCAGUCUGAGUUACAGCGAACGUUCUGAUUUUGUUUUGAGUGGCCGUAUACAUUCGGAGCUGUGGGACUGUUCUGGGGCAGUGGGAUUGUUCGAAAGAGUUACCCCGGCCCUGGUACAUAAAGUGCUUCGGAAGAAACAUGAUGGGGUUGAGUCAGUAAGAGUCUGACACUCCCUCACGUUGUCAACCCACAGCGGGAGUGGCACUUAUUGAUUUCGCGGGUUUAAAAAUAAAAUGGCCUCCUACAUAUAUAUUAACUAAGUCGUAAAACAUAAAUAACAUUGUGUGUAAUGUACAUAUGUUUCUGAAGUCCUUAAAUGGUAUUCUAAUAUACAAGCACCACAUUUCUAAGUAGGUAUGCAUAUUAUGUACGUAGAAGGUAUUUUUAAGUCUUUUCCUGACCACAAAAUCAGUAUAUUUACCCUUAAUAAAUUCGAUAACAAUUUCCUGCAGA